GAUGAACGCUGGCGGCGUGCCUAAUACAUGCAAGUCGAGCGAACGGACGAGAAGCUUGCUUCUCUGAUGUUAGCGGCGGACGGGUGAGUAACACGUGGAUAACCUACCUAUAAGACUGGGAUAACUUCGGGAAACCGGAGCUAAUACCGGAUAAUAUUUUGAACCGCAUGGUUCAAAAGUGAAAGACGGUCUUGCUGUCACUUAUAGAUGGAUCCGCGCUGCAUUAGCUAGUUGGUAAGGUAACGGCUUACCAAGGCAACGAUGCAUAGCCGACCUGAGAGGGUGAUCGGCCACACUGGAACUGAGACAUGGUCCAGACUCCUACGGGAGGCAGCAGUAGGGAAUCUUCCGCAAUGGGCGAAAGCCUGACGGAGCAACGCCGCGUGAGUGAUGAAGGUCUUCGGAUCGUAAAACUCUGUUAUUAGGGAAGAACAUAUGUGUAAGUAACUGUGCACAUCUUGACGGUACCUAAUCAGAAAGCCACGGCUAACUACGUG
rnacentral:rRNA from 1 species